UGGGGAAUUUUCCGCGAUGGGCGAAAGCCUGACGGAGCAAUGCCGCGUGGAGGUGGAAGGCCUACGGGUCGUCAACUUCUUUUCUCGGAGAAGAAACAAUGACGGUAUCUGAGGAAUAAGCAUCGGCUAACUCUGUGUCAG
rnacentral:rRNA from 1 species